rnacentral:lncRNA from 10 species
GAAAAAUAAAUAAAAUAUGGCCAGGUGCAGUGGCUCAGGCCUGUAAUCCCAGCACUUUCCAAGGCAGGUGGAUUGUCUGAGGUCAGGAGUUCAAGACCAUCCUGGCCAACAUAGUGAAACCCCGUCUGAGGAAGCGCUCCUUUCGCGGGGGCACUCGCUGUGGAUGAAUAAAGUACACUGACACACAUUCUGCUCUGCCAGUCCAGCUGAGGGUCCGAGCCGCUUACAGGCUCCAAGAGGCUGGAGAAGGCAGCUCAUGUCUGAGUAAGUCUGCAUUUGGAAAACAACAUGCACACAUGCGUUAAUGCAAUGUUUAUGGAGCAUGCUCUGUGUGCUCAGAAGCACGCUACGGAGCUGGGAAGAUGACAUGAAUUUAUCCUUAUAAUACCCUGGGAGGUGGGUACUAACUGUCCCAUAAUUCCCUGGAUUUAUAUGAA